UACAGAGGGUGCAAGCGUUACUCGGAAUUACUGGGCGUAAAGCGUGCGUAGACGGUUAUUUAAGUCGGGUGUGAAAGCCCCGGGCUCAACCUGGGAAUUGCAUUCGAGACUGAAUAGCUAGGGUACGGUAGAGGGAAGCGGAAUUUCCGGUGUAGCGGUGAAAUGCGUAGAUAUCGGAAGGAACAUCAGUGGCGAAAGCGGCGACCUGGGUAGAUACUGACGCUGAGGCGCGAAAGCGUGGGGAGCAAACAGG
rnacentral:rRNA from 1 species